CCCCCAUGGUGUUUAAGAAAAUGUUUUUAAAUAUAUAAUAUACUUUCUCAAUAAUCCCUUCUUCUGGAGGUGUCCGGAGGCUACCCAGUGUCCCCAUAUCAAUCCUGGUGAGCUCCUCCCUUUCUCUCUUUAACCCACUCCAUCUGGAAAUAAACAAGUACUUCUUUUUUUCGUAACUCAUUUCCAACUUUAACACAAGAAAAGAGAAAAAAAUAGAAAACACGUGUCUUAAAAAAGUAAAAACUAUUUUACCCUUGGGAUUUUCUUUUAACUGUAAAGUCAAAACACUUUGUGCAUAUAGAUGACAGCCUGAGAGGGAGAAAUCUGAGCACUCAAUAUUGUGAAUUUUCUUUUUUCAGAGAAUAAACACACUUUUUCCUACUUAGAGUAAUUUUUAUGUUCAGGCAGUGCAAGACAUUCCCUUGAAGGUGAGUCUUUGUGGCAGUAGCAGGAAGAGGAGGUUGCUUCUCUGAACCCUUUGGUUCCCCUAGAACCUGCUGCUCCCUUCUACAGCACCUGAAACUGUUCCUCAGAGCCUCAAAUCUUUAUUUUCAGGUCAGGUGCCUCUUUUCCCCCUGCUCUGGGAGUCUGGUUACUUCUCAAGCAAACCCCAGGGCAGUCAUGAUGGGCGCCUCUUUCUGAGAGCUCUCCAGCAAAACUAGCUCCCAACAACUUUCCAGCUUUCUUUGAUUUCCUGAAGUGACUGGUACCAAAUCAGCAGCUGCCUGCCUGGUCUUGCAUUCUCUGUGUCCCAAGCGGGAAAGUCAGGCUCAGGAAUGAUUCCCACACAAGGUUGCAACAGGUACUGCAAGGGCCACCAUGACUCCUACCGUCAUUCUGAAAUAAUUGCUAUUUUUUAUUUAAAUUCAGUUUUUAGAAUACCCUGAAAAUUGCUCUAUUUGAAUUCUGACAGAUUGAUUUAAAAAACAGUUGAUGAUAAUUAGCCAAUCAUUCUGUUUUUUUAAAGGUCAGGUUUGAUGGACUUUACCCAGAAGGACACCUGCAUCUUCAGAGGGGAAUUGUUGGAAGUGUGAGUUGUCUGUACGUGUUCAAUUUAUUUUCUGAAAGCCAACUGCUCCCUACCCAGGCCAUUGGCUGUCUCUUGGUUUUUAUCACUUCUUUCAGUUCAGGAUGAAGGAGAUUAUUUCAGUUCACACCCUCUGAGACUUAGUAAAUUCCUUUAACAAGUUUUAGCACUGGGGAAGGCAAAGUCAGCUGCCUUUUCAGGUUUGGUUCAUCUUUGGGUAAUGUUACUUGGCAUGUGGUGCCUGUCCUGUGCUGUGACUAGACAAUUUAAGAGGGGACCAUGGGACAGGCAUUAGUUUUCAGGCCUCUCAGCUUGAUUGAUUUUAGCCUUUCUGUCUCCAACUUCUCUCCCCAUUAUGAUGGCCAAUGAUACCCCUUGUCUUUUUGUUUUGCUUUUUUUAUUUAAAGGGAGAAAUAAAAGUUUGUUUCCUAAGGAAGUGUAGAAUGUGGAAUAAGAAGCUAAUUUAGAUUCUUGACAUGCUUUAAAAUAAGCUUCCUACAAAAGAAGCUGCAGAAUACUCUAGCCAGAAACCACUGGUGAAAGGCUUUUAGCUAGACAGAGCAGAGUUGAAGUUCAACUCUGCCACUUCUUAGUUGUGUGAGCUUGGGCUGCUUCUCCAUCUGUAAAAUGGGAUGGUGACCACUAGGUUCCCUACCACUAUUCCCAUUUAUAGAAUUAUGGCCACUGCUGUAUUUGUUAGCAAAUUGGGUUCUUAGGAAUAUCUGUGCCAGAACACUUAAGAUAUCUUAUCUUAUACAGGUCAUUAGCUGUCUCAAAAUGCUUCUUAUAUUCUUAGGCAUUUAGAGAAACUAGUUAAAACUUCUACUUUUCUGCAUUAAGAAAAAGGCCUUAAGGUUAUAGGCUCUUUUAAUUUUUCAAGAGCAAUAAAAAGUACAACUAUAUUAUUCUGAUAAAGAAUGAUCCAGGUUCAAACUCUGGGAAAUUUAAGAGGGAAGGGUGACUUUAUAAAAAGAUUUGCAUCUGGGAAGUCAAGACAAGCAUUUGAAGACAGAUUAUAUAGAUGUAACCCUGCAUGCCUGCCCACCCAAUUUAUUUUACCUAAUGUAUUUUAUCUUAAUUGCCAGAAAAAUACAAAAUCAUGUUUUGACCUCUAUCGUCUUAGCGUCUAGCUUUAACAUUAGAGCCAGAAGCUCUUUUAAAAAUAUUAAGUCAGAUCAUGUUACUCUUCUGAUGAAAACUCUCCAAGGAGUCCCAUCCUACUUCACAUAAAAAGUCAAAACCUUCACAGUGAGCUACCAAGUUCAAUGUGACCCCUUAUGCAUCUCCCCCUCAUGCAUUGUUCUACAGGCAUGAACUCUUCUCAGGGUGCUUGCUUGUACUUUUCCCUCUGCUUAGAUCAUUUCCCGCACUGCCCCGCACCCCACCUUCCCCAGGUAGCCACAUGUCUCAUUCCCUCUCCUUCUUCAAAUGUCAUCAUUAUAGUGAAACUGUCUUGUUCACCCCAUUUGAAAUGAAACCUUCCCCUUCCUCAACUCUCUAACCUCCUUUUAGGAUUCAUUUAUUCCCAUAAUGUUUAUCACCUUCUAAUACAUCAAAUAACUUAAUAAUUUAUUUGUUUUGUAAUUUGUCCUUGCCUGGAAACUCCCUGAAGGCAGAGAUUUGGUUAAUUUUGUUCAUGAAUGAUUCCUCAGUGUCUAGAACUAUGCCUGGAGCAUAGCAAGUAGUCAAUGAAUAUUUUUUGAAUUAGGGGAAAAAAUUUAGAAGCCUAUGAUGGAUUGCAGAAGAUGGAUUUUUUAAACCUCAUUAGACAAAAUAAUUUCUUUCACAAAACAAGGUAAAACUUCAAUGGGCAUACAAAAAGUAGAGUUUGUAAAUAAAGGGUAUGUGAAAUGACAGAGGCUUAAAACCAGGUGCCCUCUUCAAUGUCUGUUUUCACCACAUUUAGAAAGCCCUGCCUAGGAAGCUGCUCAUCUCAGAUUGUGAGCAACUCGUACUCUAGGUUCUACCUUCUCUCUUGCAGUAGAGUGGUAGAGCAGAAAUUUCCAGUCAAAAUGAUACGAGAGUACUGGGAAGGGAAGAGCAUGGUCCCUUUAAAUAAUAAGGAAGAGGGGGAAGGGAAGUGCUGGGUAGAGAAAGGCGGGCCCCUGGCUAGGGUUCCACCCCUACGGGCCUAGGUGAGGACAGGAAUUUCCUGCCCAAAUGUUGUAUUUCCCAAGAUCACCCUGGUGGGCCACAUCCGCAUCCUGGGCCUAUAAAAACAUGAAACCCUAGCAAGCACUCACACAGGAGGCCAGAUGUCCAGAGGAACACAUCUGUGGAAGAAGAAACAAGUGGUCGUCGAGAGGACGUCGAGAGAAGCUAGUGAGCAGAAGAACACACUGACAGAGGCUGGCCCACUGACAGGCCAUCAGCUGGCAGGAUGAGGAAGAGUUCGGCCAGGGCAGUCCGAGGCGAGCCGGGGCUGCUGAGUGGCCCAAAUCCAGGGGAAAACCAUCUCCCUUCUGGCUCCCCCAUUGGCUAAGAGCUACUUCCACUUAAUAAAACUUUGCACUCAUUCUCCAAGCCCACAUGUGAUCCGAUUCUUCCAGUACACCAAGGCAAGAACCCGGGAUACAGAAAACCUUCUGUCCUUGUGACAAGGUAGAGGGUCUAACUGAGCUGGUUAAUACAAGCCGCCUAUAGACGACAAACUAAAAGAGCAUCUUAUAAUACAUGCCCACUGGGGCUUCACCUGUAAACUUUCACCCCGAGACACUGCCGUGGGAUUGGAGCCCCACAGCCUGCCCAUCUGUAUGCUCCCCUAGAGGUUUGAGCAGCGGGGCACUGAAGAAGUGAGCCACACCCCCAUUGCAUGCCCUGCAAGGGGGACAAGGGAACCUUUCCUGUUUCAAAAAUGCUGGCUCUCUUAAAACAAUACUUUCUAUGUCCUGUGGGUACUACACAAUUUCUAACAAAUGGAGCUGGAAGAAAACAUCACCUAGGAGAUAAGGAGUGAGCAACUCUAGAUUUUGCCAAUUCUGCAUUUUUGGCUUGAAAACCAUUCAGUCUGCAUGUCUUCUCUCUCUGUGGCCACAUACGAGACCCACAUUUCCUAACUUGCAAUGUUCCCACAGGAGAAUGCAUGCUCAAUUUGCUGAUGCAACUUCCAAGUCAAUGUCUCCAUUUCCAGGAAAUGCUAUAAAAGAGGCUGCUGCUCUAGAUCCUGGGAGAGUUUGUCUCUUUGGAAAAGUGAUCUCAGCUUAUAAGAUAAUUAGCUCCUUAGUGCUAAUCCAUGUGCAUUUACAAAAGCACUUUUGGGUUAGGAGAAAUAAAGAGUUGAUUAAUCUCCAUCACUGAGGUGUAACACCAGGGAGCUCUUACCUGCUAGUUGUAUUGGCAAUAAGGACUCCUUAGGUUUGCUCACUAACCCAGCUCUCCUUCUUUUAAAAACACACAAAAUAUGUGAAGCUUGCAGAAAACCCUGUAGUCAUGGGUUGAUUUCCUCUAGAAUGUUAUUUUGUUAUUUAUAUUGUUGCUUCUAUUGGGCUUUUUGGCAUUUCUUUCUUUGUUCUUAGAAGUUUUAGGGGGUAUAAAAGCCCCACAGUCCGUCUUUACACCUUGCUUCUAAGAUGCUUUAUUUGUUAAUCUAGGGCACUUAUUUCCAAGUCUGUAAAGAGCCAUGGGUAUGGUUCCUAGGCUCUAAACAGAGGUGUCCAAUCUUUUGGCUUCCCUGAGCCACAUUGGAAGAAGAAUUGUCUUGGGCCACACAUAAAAUACAUUAAAAUACAUUAACACUAACGAUAGCUGAUGGAGCUUAAAAAAAAAAAAAUCCCAAAAAGCAAUCUCAUAAUGUUCUUAAGAAAGUUUGUGAAUUUUUGUUGGGCCUCAUUCAAAGCCAUUCUGGGCUGCGUUGGACAAGCUUGCUGUAAGAUAUCAAAAGAGGAACUGAGAAAGCAGAAAUGAAGACAAGAGAGGACAAAUUUAUGUCAAUGAAAUCCCGUGACAACUUACUUGCAUUUAGAUAUCAUGCACGUUUUUUUCCUUGAUGAAAGGUUUUUUUAAACUCUUCUGAAAAUGCUAAUGAGACAAGUUUCAAGAAAUUGACAGUAAUGGAAAACCUGAAUGUUACAAUGAUAACUAAAAAGAAAGAAAUUAUUUCACUCAUCUUAGUCUUCCUGGAGAGAAGAAAAAAAAUGUGAACAGAGAAAUAAGACAGCUGGCAAUUAAAGCCUUGGGAUUCCUAAACCUUCUCUUUUGUGCUCCCAAAUGAACAAGGUUUAAGCUGCCUUCAAGAGAAAGUCAAUCUAAAGUCCAUGAUGACUUUUCAAAAUGAAACCUUAGGGGGCUUUUAAAACUUCAAGCUUCAGCCCAGCAAGGUCACUUUCUAAAGUGAAAAUUCUUUUUAAGGUAAUGAUUGUGGGGUAAGAAAAGGAAUGAGGGAGGGGUGGCAUGUCAAGGUUUGAGCUAAAAGCCAUGUCAUUGCAUCCUCAGAAGUAGCUAUCCUCCCUGCACAGAUCCUAGGGAGACGCAUUAUCCAGCUAAAUAAAUAAAGAAGCCCUGUGGGCUUCUUUUGCAUACUACCUGCUAAAAGCAUAUGGGCUUGUUCAUUGGUCGGUAGUUAGCUAAUCUGUAUUGAAAGUCAAAACUCUGGCCACUGGGGAGGUUGCAUUGCUCUGGACUUGUCAGUAAGAGGAAAGCUCAGCUGUCACCAGGCUCCUAGAAAAUAGCCUAGAUUUAUGUUGAAUUCCUUUGAACUCUCUGCUUCUUUGUUCAAUCUUCACACAUUCUCAAUGUUUACAAGCUGUCUUGGUAUUGUGAUCUGUUGUUUCGCAAAUCUGCGUUUUGAAUUUCUGGUUAUGCUGUGAGCUUCCAGGGGAGGAGAUCAACUUUCAGAUUCCAUGUUCUCUACCCUGCCUUGUAAGUGGGAAGAGAAUAUGAGGGAGUGGCCUAGUGCUGGACUGGAGUCCACAGCAGUAUGAGAAUAGAUAUCUGGAAACUAGGAAAUGACUGGAGAACAAACCCAGCUAGCAAUUCUGAGGGCUGGAUUGGCCGGGAAGACAAGGAGGAGCUUGGAGGUCCAAGCAAGUCCAAAUUCAGAGGCCAGUUUAAAGUUACAGUAAGAAUAAGGGCAUGAAGUCCAGGCACAGUGGCUCAUGCCUGUAAUCCCAGCACUUUGGGAGGCCGAGGCAGGUGGAUUACCUGAGGUCAGGAGUUUGAGACCACCCUGGCCAACAUAAUGAAACCCCAUCUCUACUAAAAAAAAUAUAAAAAUUAGCCAGGCGUGGUGGCACAUGCCUGUAAUCCCAGCUACUCAGGAGGCUGGGGCAGGAGAAUUGUUUGAGCUGGGGAGAUGGAGGUUGCAGUGAGCUGAGAUAGUGCCACUGCACUCCAGCUGGGACGACAGAGCGAGACUCUGUUUCAGAAAACAUAAAUAAAUAAAAAUAAGGGCAUGAAACAGAGGGCCAUGCAGAAUCUUGCCAGAUGGCUCUGCCACAGCUGCCUGUAUCUCAGCCCUCUCUGAGGUGGAUGUCCACCUGCUAUUAAAUAAAGAAAUGAGGCAGCAGGAAGAUCAAGAGAUCAAGAGGCUUCUUUGAUUAGCAUCCAUUUUUGUGUUCCUGAUGGUAUCAGGGUUCCAGAUGGUCCGUGCAUUCUGGCUCCAUUACUUCCUUACAGAGUAACCUUGAGCACAUUCUUUAACCUCUGCUUUUUAUUUCUGCAAAGAAAACAAUGAAACUGGAAUUAAAAUAGGGAUAAAACUAUCUAUGUCAUUCAACUUAAUGUUAAAUUUAGGUCAGUAUGCAAUAAGGAUUUGUUUCUUUCCUCCUCCGAUUCACAUGCUCAGAGUAAGUAAUUU
rnacentral:lncRNA from 1 species